CAAGUCAGUCCUCCCCAACUGUCUUCCCCCUCGUCUCCUGCGAGAGACCCUUGUCUGAUGAGAAUCUGGUGACCAUGGGCUGCCUGGCACGGGACUUCCUACCCAGCUCCAUCUCUUUCUCCUGGAACUACAAGAACGGCUCUGAGAUCCUCCAGGGCGUCAGGACCUUUCCAACACUGCUGUCGGGGAACAAGUACAUGGCCGCCUCGCAGGUGUUCCUGUCCCCCAAGGACUUCAUGGCGGGCUCAGAUGACUACCUGGCAUGCAAAGUCCGGCAUGGCAACAACAACAGAGACCUGCAUGUGUCCAUUCCAGAAAUCUCAAACAUUCCCCCCAAUGUGAAUAUGUUUGUUCCACCUCGUAAUGCCUUCUCUGGCCCUGCACCACGCUUGUCCAAAAUCAUCUGCCAGGCCACCAACUUCAGUCCCAAGAAGAUCACAGUGUCCUGGCUACGAGACUGGAAACCUGUGGACUCCGGCUUCACCACAGAGAAGGUGACUGCCGAGCCCAAAGGACCAGGGCCCCUGACCUACAAGGUCACAAGCUCACUGACCAUCACCGAGACCGACUGGCUGAACCUGAUUGUGUACACCUGCCGCGUGGAUCACAAUGGGUUCACCAUCUUGACGAACGUGUCCUCUACCUGUGCUUCCACUGGUCCACCCACAGACAUCCUAGCCUUCCCCAUUUCCCCCUCCUUUGCUGACAUCUUCCUUACCAAGUCAGCCAAGCUGUCCUGCCUGGUCACAAAUCUGGGUUCCUAUGAGAGCCUGAACAUCUCCUGGGCUCGCCAAAGUGGUGAGGCACUGAAAACCAGCAUCAAACUCUCCGAAAGCUACUCCAACAGCACCUUCAGUGCCAGAGGUGAAGCUACCGUUUGUGUGGAGGAUUGGGACAGCAGGGAGGAGUUCACAUGCACCGUGACCCACCGGGACCUGCCUUCGCCACUGAAGAAGACGCUCUCCAAGCCCAGGGAGGUGGCCAAGCACCCACCCGCCGUGUACCUGCUGCCACCAGCCCGAGAGCAGCUGAUUCUGAGGGAGACAGCCACAGUUACCUGCCUGGUGAAGGGCUUCUCUCCUCCAGAUGUCUUUGUGCAAUGGCUCCAAAGGGGGCAGCCCUUGUCCUCGGACAAGUAUGUGACCAGUGCCCCGAUUCCCGAGCCUCAGGCCCCAGGCCUCUACUUUGCCCACAGCGUGCUGACAGUGACGGAGGAGGAAUGGAAUUCCGGGGAGACCUACACCUGUGUUGUGGGCCACGAGGCCCUGCCCCACAUGGUGACCGAAAGGACCGUGGACAAGUCCACUGAGGGGGAGGUGAACGCCGAGGAGGAGGGCUUUGAGAACCUGUGGGCUACCGCCUCCACCUUCAUCGUCCUCUUCCUCCUGAGCCUCUUCUACAGCACCACCGUCACCCUAUUCAAGGUGAAGUGAUUGAGACUCACGCAUGGAAAAGCGCCGGGGACCAAGAGACCCAUCCACAGGGGCACUACCGCUACCUCUGGGCCUGGGGUGGACCAGCCUGUGUGGCCAGUAACCUUGUUCCUACGUCUUCACUGUGUUGCCCUCCAGCCUUGAGUGCUGAGAUGGGCUUCUUUCUAGACUGGACAAAAGCCUUGCCAACCUGUGCAGCUUGCAACAGUGUCUGCUCCGCACAUGGCUGUGUUAUGUACACAUGUUACUUAGAAAUAAAUACUUUAUCUUGUGAACUCA